rnacentral:rRNA from 1 species
GCUAAUAGCCAUUGAACGCUUGUUGAAAAACUAAGCAGGGCCAGACCUGAUUAGUACUUUGAUGGAGGACCACCAAGCAACUCCAGGGCUAUAAGUU